rnacentral:rRNA from 1 species
UACGUAGGUGGCGAGCGUUGUCCGGAAUUACUGGGUGUAAAGCGCGCGUAGGCGGGAGGCCAAGUCCGCUGUGAAAUCGCCCGGCUCAACUGGGCGCGGUCGGUGGAAACUGGUCACCUGGAGGACGGUAGAGGCGAGUGGAAUUCCCGGUGUAGUGGUGAAAUGCGUAGAGAUCGGGAGGAACACCAGUGGCGAAGGCGGCUCGCUGGGCCAGUUCUGACGCUCAUCCGCGAAAGCGUGGGGAGCAAACAGG